GCCGGGAUAGCUCAGUGGGCUACAGCAUGGUGCUGAUAACGCCAAGGUUGCAGGUUCGAUCCCCCCAUAUGGGACA